ensembl:lincRNA
AUGAUCUUCCUUUCUAGGUGGGGACAGAGGUGUCAGGGGGGAUGUGGAUCACCGAGGUUUCACAGGGAGUUGGAAAGCCUGCAGCCUGGCUUCUGGCCAGCCUUCCCUGCCAGGUGCCAGGAGGUGGGGGAGGUGCCUGAGCCCCUGAUGAGGCUGCAGUGUCCUCAGUGGGACCACAGAGGCCCCCAGAGUCAGCAUCAUAAACACUGUGAUCUGCCGACCUGCUCGCCUGCUUACUUCUGUCUCAUGGGUAGCCCAAGACUCCGCUCCGGAGAAGGCAAAGUACACAAGGGCCUUCACCUCUCGGUCACGUUCCUGAGGCCUUUGCGGGCACCUCUGAGAUGCUCAAUUAAUAUUUGUGGAAGGAAUGCGCUGCUGGGGGCAGGGAAGGGAGCUCCUUAGGAGUGUGCUCUGUGAGUGCCCGUUGCUGUCAACCCCACCGUGCCCAGCAUGGGCUCUGGCCCCUCAGUAAAUAAGCGGCUGUUGAAUGAAUGAGUGGAUGAAUGAGGAUGACAGUUAGCGCCAACAAGGGUGGAAGUGGGUGAACCAGGCAGGGAAUGCAUCCUCAAACCUCAGUCCUUAUCCCAGGAGCCAGGAUCUGAGAAGGAGCAGAGGGAGGGCCGGUCUCUGGGCUUCUUCCGCUUCCCUCUUUCCAGGCCAACCGUGCACAUACUAAUGACUCUUAGAAAAAAAAAAAAAAAAAAAAAACUCAGGGCUCAUAUUUACAGAGCAUUUACUAUGUACCAGGUUUUGUGCUAAGCCCUUUACAUAGAUGAACUCACUUCGCCUUUUCAGUGAUCUGUGAAGCAGUAUUUUACUCAUAGUGUAGGCAAGGAAAAUGAAGCACAGAGAGAUUACGCCGAUUGCCCAAGGUCACACAGCUAGAAAACCAAUGCUGUCCUUGCUAGGGCUGCGCUGAGAUGGCAGCAGUGCUCACCCUGUGCCGAGAGCAGUCUCUGGGUUUGGGUCUUUCGCCCCCUGCGACCUCUGUCCAGGUCUUGGUGUGGCCCUUUGUAGAAUGGGAACAUGCGUGCUGAUGCUUGGGAGGCAGGGACUUUUUUUUUUAAAUAAGGUUUUUCUUCUUGUCAUCAUGAAUCAGCAUGUCAUCGUGAUCACGGUGGUGAUAAUCUCUAGACCUGCUUCCUGUCGUUAACAUAUGCAGUCUGAGACGCAGCCCUGGAGACCCUGACGAGGCAGAUGGGUCUGCUUCCCACCUGGGCAGAACUGCUGUCUCAUUUGGUCUCCACUCGCCUCCUCCUUCCGUUUUGUCUUCGCUUGAUCAUUGCCGCAGCCUCCGGCUUGCCUGCCAGCCUCUGGGCUUUUCUUCUCUCUCAUUAACCAAUCUUGCUUAAUAUGUAAAUCAGUACUUGUUACUCUCCUGCCCUGGUGACCUGCACUGCCUCCAAAAUCUUUACGAAAGGGAAGGGCUUGGUAACUUGGCCCCUGGAAACAGCGACUUUCCAGCCAACCCCAAGGCCCUCAGGCAGCACACGGUGGCUGGCGGGGCUGUAACCAGGCGUGGCUUCCGUGACUCUUUGCCUCUGCCUCUCUGGUUCCCUGAGCCAGCAGGGCCCUUCCGACUCUCUCCACAGUGAAGUCUGCUCAUUCGCUGGACUCAGAGAAAUGGCACAGUUGCUUUUCUGGGUUAUAAAAGUGAUGCACACUCAUUGUAGAUAAUUCAAACAGUGCAGAACCCACGAGGAAAAAAACCAGGGAAAUGUUUGCUUUUCCCAUAGUUCCAACGGCUGGAGAAAACCACCGUUAAAACACCAUGAUUAUAACCAUGCAUGUUUUUCUGUGUACAUAUACGUUUGUAUCUCUAAAUAUGCAUAAAUACACUCAUGUUUACAAAAAUGAGGUCACUUGUGCUAUUUGGUAACCUACUUUCUUUCCCCCCCUAAAU